AGCCCUGUAGUGUUUUCACGUCAAAAUGCAAGUUUGAAGAAGAGCCUUAAAGGCU
rnacentral:tRNA from 1 species